GCUCCUACCUGAAAUGUAGGAACUGUACACACCUCACUGCCAUAAUUAUAUAAGCAAUUUGCACUGGAAUUGUUGUUUCUUUUGGAGUGUCCCUUCAAACUCUGUUUUGGAUCUAAUGUCUUUCUUAUGGGCUUCCCCCUUGGCAUCCUACCCUGGACAGGUCAAGAAAAAGGAAGGGAUCAUUCUUGGCACAUUCAAAGCUGCCUGGAAUGUAGCUUGCCUGGCUUUGGCAGAGUUCUCAAAAUGGCCUUGCAGUCAUAUAAACAGUGCUGAGUCCAGAGACACAAGCUCUUGUAAGAAGGAUGGAUUACAAGACAAGAGACCAGCUACAGUUUGACAAGAUACAAGAUCCACAACAAAACAGGCAACCAAUGCAGGUGCUGUCUCUGCCCGACAAAAGCCAGUGCUGUCUCGGAUAGAACACAGAACACAGACUGGGAUGUCCCCAAAAUAGAGAUAACGACCAGAAAGUACAGCAUCUUUUCAAUGCCAAGUCACCUGAAAAUAUACAUCUGCCUUGAAUAUUUGCUCUGACCACUGUAUGUGAUAGAUGUGCCAGACUUCUCUUUCCAAUGCCCUAUAAAGCUUCCUGCCUUUUCUUUGUUUGGGACUGACGGCCUCUUGCUUGCUGUCAGUCCACCUCUGCCCAGGUGAAUAAAGUCCGUACCUCUUUGUUUUCACUAGCCUGCUGGGGUGAUUUCAUUCCUCUG
rnacentral:lncRNA from 1 species